AUUUUAAGAGGCCCACCUAUGUUAUGAUCCAUAGAUGCUCUCUAGUGUAGAAGAUACCCUUAGGUGAGAUCGAGCUCCCUUUGAUGGGCUAACUCAAACUCAAUACAAAUGGAUUUAAUAAAAAACUUGACAAUAUAACUACAAAAGGCGUCAUUGAGAGCACAUUGUCUCAUGGAUUCCCAGUUACAUGGCCAACUUCAGUUCAAGUCACAUAACAAUGCAGAAGUCUACGGUUUGAAAAUUGCUACUGAUAAGGGCAUCGACAAUCUAAUUAGCGUGAUUAACUCCCUUCACAUAAGCAUCUACAAGCUUCCUAAAGAACUAUCUAUACUUACUCAAGAGGAACUUGAAAAUCCAAGUACUACACAUCCACAAAAAGUAACACUUGCAACGAUUACCUUGCAAUUACACCACUUGGCAAUCCCAUUAAUAUGUUAUCCUUGCCACACCCUAAGAGAAUUUAGAUAUCCACAU
rnacentral:lncRNA from 1 species